rnacentral:rRNA from 1 species
CAAUAGCGUAUAUUAAAGUUGUUGCAGUUAAAAAGCUCGUAGUUGAAUUUUUGCUUGCCGCCGAUGUCGGAACUUCCGUACGUUCGGCGGCGUGCAUCCUUGGGUGGAACCUGUGUGGCAUUAGGUUGUCGUGCAGGGGAUGCUCAUCGUUUACUGUGAAAAAAUUAGAGUGUUCAAGGCAGGCUUACGCCGUUGAAUAUAUUAGCAUGGAAUAAUAAGAUAGGACCUUGGUACUAUUUUGUUGGUUUGCGCACCGAGGUAAUGAUUAACAGGGACAGUUGGGGGUAUUCGUAUUCCAUUGUCAGAGGUGAAAUUCUUGGAUUUCUGGAAGACGAACUACUGCGAAAGCAUUUACCAAGGAUGUUUUCAUUAA